rnacentral:rRNA from 1 species
ACGUAGGGCGCAAGCGUUGUCCGGAAUUAUUGGGCGUAAAGAGCUCGUAGGCGGCUCGUCGCGUCGACCGUGAAAACCUAGGGCUUAACCCUGGGCUUGCGGUCGAUACGGGCGGGCUAGAGUUCGGUAGGGGAGACUGGAAUUCCUGGUGUAGCGGUGAAAUGCGCAGAUAUCAGGAGGAACACCGGUGGCGAAGGCGGGUCUCUGGGCCGAUACUGACGCUGAGGAGCGAAAGCGUGGGGAGCGAACAGGA